rnacentral:lncRNA from 10 species
GAUCCUCUUGCUUUGGCCUCCCAAAGCACUGAGAUUAUAGGCGUUAUCCCGUGCCUGGCCCUCUUUCUACACCUCAAUCAUUGUAUCAUUAGCCUGAGCUGCCCAUAGUCCUUAUUCUGCCCAUCCCUGACCGAUCUCCUCCUUUAACAUAACUUCCAUCUCAAUAUCAUGGGGCCUGCUGGGCACUGCAAACAGCCUAAGGAAAGCAGAAACUUUACUUAACCUUAAAUUCUAUUACAAAGUCCACAUUGAACGUAAUUUAUAUUUGAACUAUAAAAUUU